CUCUGGGGAAAAAACAAAAAUUGCUCAUUGUUAAUGCAUACUUUUUGCCUCUAAGGGAAAUGGCAUUUACACAGGAUGCAUCUAUGCCUGAUUAUUUUGGUAGAUUAUAUUGAGAUUUAUGAUUUUUUAUGGUUUUGUUGCUGCAGAAAUAUUUCCUAUUUAGAAUGUUUCUUAUGUGCUAAAGCCUUGAACAGAUGCUUUGUUUCCACUUAUUUGUGAAAGGAAAAAUACUUUCUUGCUUUCAAAUGCUAUUGUGAGGCAGGGCCUUAGAGACCAACUGAUUCAGAAAGGUACGAGCUUUCAUGGACAAUAGCCUACUUCAUCAGGUACUAUGAAUUCUGUUAUUAAGAGCAAGAUGUCAAGGCUGCAAGUAGGUACUUGACCAUAAAAUCGGAUGGAAGGGGGCUGACCUAAGUGGAGCUUAGCCCAUGUGGUUUUAAUUGCAGGAUUGGGGCUCAAGUGCUUUUGCUUGCACAUGUAAUUGUCAGGUACCAGAAAUCCAGGGGAGGAGAAAUAAGACAGACCAUUCUUCCUCCUUGCCUCCCAAAAAAGCUAAUAGGAACAUCAAGAUACAAGUAUCUGAAAUGAUGGAAGCAGAAGAGUUCAUCUAGAGAGCCCAUAGAGGCGAAGAGGAGGGGCAGAGGACACAUCUUGAAGGAUUCUAGGAGGUGGGAUAUGGCCGGAGGAGAGCAAGAGAAGGCGAUACUAAAGGAUGUAAUCAGCAAGGUGGGAGGGCAGUGAUAGUAUUUCUUCCAUUCUUACCUCAAUGUCAGCUGCCUCUAACAGCACUGACCUAUGUUUUCCUCCACCUGCACUUCAUCUCCUUGACAACCUGCUUCAGACAAGUUGCGGUAAAACAUAGGAAGUACUCAUUCCAGUUCAACUGAGAGAGUGCUUGUUCAAGCAAGGAAAAUGCAGCUGGUGACCUCACUGAGAGUGGUUUUGGCUAAGUGGAGGAGACAGAAGCCUCAGUGGAGAGUUCAAGAAGUUUAAAAAAAAAAAAGGAAGUCUAAGUAUAGGAAGUAGACAACAUGCUCAUAGGUUUUGGAAGCUGUGUGACAGAUAAGACAACUGUUGGAUUUGAGGGAAGGUAUUCUCAAGAGAAAGUAUACUAGCACAUGUGUGUAUGAGCUAGAUGAACAAUAUCCUGCUGCAUAUAAUAGCAAAUAGGUGGUGUCUUUUCUACCACCUGCAAAAGUCUUCCCUGGGCACCCUUUCCUGCCCUGACUAUGUGGCAUUGCCCAGCAGUGGCAAGGGCCCUUUCACAGGCCCUUGCUUCACUACCAUUCUGUUCCCAUGCCCGAAACAUGGCUUCCGACAUUCUCUACAACCAUUUCCUUGCCACCCAGUGUUAAAAAGCUUUCUAGCAUUAACAGUUACAGCUUGAUAUUCCCCACAUGCUUCAUUCACAGGUACAUUAAUUGGUUUUGGACAUAUUAGAUAGGAAGGAGAGCAGGGGAGCAGGAACAAAUCAGAGGCUAAGACCCUGACAUAGGCUCAGUUUAGUGGCCAGCCCUGGAGGCCAGGAAGAUUUUGGUGCUUGCUUUUAAAGUACCUGUAGGCAUGCUUCUGCCUGAGAGAGCAGAGAUGAACAUGAGGAAGUCUUCCAAGACUACUAAAUACAUUUCAGCGGUGAACUGUGCAAGACAGUAUCCUGCAGGGACCUUGCAUGCAGACAGAGCAGACUUUUCUGUGCCACAUGCAAUCUAACUCCGGAUGUGUCUAGGAAAACCAGCAUCAGUUGUCAUUUGGUGUCUGAGGCACACAUGAAGAGGAAGGCAGCUUUAGAGGCUAAAGGUCAGAGCACGAAGCAAGCGACCAUGUCCUCCCUGUUUAAAAGGACCACAGAAAGCAGCUUGGCAAAGUGCCAUUUCCCUUGUGGAGGCUUUUGUGGUGGUCAAAAACAUUUUGCUGGAGAAAUUUGAUCUCCCAAGUUAAAGGACUACCUGAAAUAAAGCAGUAUUCCAUGUGCCAACAAGCUUCACUAGGACUAGCUCCCUGCCAUGAUUGCUUCAUAUGUACAGUCCAUGAAGGCUGCUUUGGCAGAGUAUCAUUCCUUUUCCAUUGUGGCUAAUAAAGCCACUAACCCUCAGACGACUACAUGCUGCACGUUUUAUUUGUACUGGGGACCUGGACCAACCAGAACUCGCCUGACAGCAUUCCUGUCCGACAAUGCCACAUACAUGUGCAAGGCUUUCUUUGAUGUGCAAGAAAUGCUGUGCAAUACUGUUCAUGUCACCUGCAAUGGACACAUUCUGUCCCUAGUAAGUAGUAUCUGGCACACGCAGUUCCUCAAGGUGGAUAGUCUGGUGUCUUCUUUCGAGAAAGCCUUCAAGCACUGUCCAGGUCAUAAGGGAGUCUGUCGCCAGUCAGUGGGGACUCACAUGCCACUGAUGCUGCCACCAGAGCUUAUGCUCACACAGUGGAAUUCCUGGAUCAAUGCAAUCUGUUACCAUGCCAAGCACAUGCAGCACUACCAGCCGUUUGAGUGAGGUGCUGGAAAUCACACCCAGCACACAGUGCAUACUCAAGCUUCAUGAUCUCUUAGGGUGAGGUGACAUUCAAGUUUGUGGCUGAUAGUGCCAUCCAAUUCAUGGAGCUCCUGACCUGGUUUGCAGGCUGGCAGGCUGUGGUCCACCAAGCACAUAACAAGCUGAUGGAUUUGAUAAGCUGGGCUGAAGAUGGGGCAUUGCAGGAACCGUCAAGCUGCCUUCAUGAAAACCAGCACACAAGGGACUUGCUCCAGGCAACAGCUGUGAAGCUGAACAACUACUACAGAUAUGAUCUGUCACUGCCACCAUGGUUCAGAUGGCCAGCUGCCCCUCUUCCUUAGUGCUGUUUGUAUUUUGGACCCCAAGCAGGUGUCUUUGCUGAGUUGUGACCCUCAGCAACUGAAAGCAAUUCUGGGAUGGAGGAAACAGCAUGACAAUGAACGUGCUGCCUAUGUAAACUUUGUCAAAGACUGCCAGAUGCCUGCGUCCAUGCCUGUGUUCUGGGACUCUCUCUGUAACCGGUUUCCACAUCUUUAUGCCCUUACAAGGUGCUACCUCACCAUUCCAAUGAACUUGGUGGACGGUGAGCAUGCCAUCUCAGUGUAUGGACAAGUGUUCACCCCACAGAGGCAGAGAAUGUCUCCAGUCACUGUGGCUGGGUGCAGCAUGCAGUAUUUAAUAUAUAGACUGAACUAACUGUCUUAAGGUUAGCAGUCAGUUUCAGUAAACUCCAUUUUAUAAUGUCUUUUAAUAAAGUGUAUAUAGUUGGUAUUAGUUACAAUUUAUGUUGUGCAUAGUACAGCUUUAUUUUCAUAAGAUAUUUCAGUUUAGAAUUUGAUUAAUUACUUGGAUGGUAUUAUUUAAUAAAGUGUCUAUAGUUGGUAUUUAUUAAAUAAUGCCAAGUAUAGAUGCUUUAUUAAAUAAUGCCAACUAUAUACAGGCAAAGUGUAUAAAGUUGGUAUUACUUGCAUUUCAUGGUGUCCAUUCCUUUAUUUCAAUACAGUAUUUCAUUUUACAUAUUAAGUGCUUAGACUGCUUAACAAUAAUGCAGCAAUUAAUGGCUUCCCCAAGCUUGACGCCCU